rnacentral:rRNA from 3 species
ACGAACGCUGGCGGCGUGCUUAACACAUGCAAGUCGAACGAUGACCUCCAGCUUGCUGGGGUGAUUAGUGGCGAACGGGUGAGUAACACGUGAGUAACCUGCCCUUGACUCUGGGAUAAGCACUGGAAACGGUGUCUAAUACCGGAUACGAGAUUCCACCGCAUGGUGAGGGUCUGGAAAGAAUUUUGGUCAAGGAUGGACUCGCGGCCUAUCAGCUAGUUGGUGAGGUAACGGCCCACCAAGGCGACGACGGGUAGCCG